rnacentral:rRNA from 1 species
AGUGAACGCUGGCGGUAGGCCUAACACAUGCAAGUCGAACGGCAGCACAGUAAGAGCUUGCUCUUACGGGUGGCGAGUGGCGGACGGGUGAGGAAUACAUCGGAAUCUACUUUUUCGUGGGGGAUAACGUAGGGAAACUUACGCUAAUACCGCAUACGACCUACGGGUGAAAGCAGGGGAUCUUCUGACCUUGCGCGGUUGAAUGAGCCGAUGUCGGAUUAGCUAGUUGGCGGGGUAAAGGCCCACCAAGGCGACGAUCCGUAGCUGGUCUGAGAGGAUGAUCAGCCACACUGGAACUGAGACACGGUCCAGACUCCUACGGGAGGCAGCAGUGGGGAAUAUUGGACAAUGGGCGCAAGCCUGAUCCAGCCAUACCGCGUGGGUGAAGAAGGCCUUCGGGUUGUAAAGCCCUUUUGUUGGGAAAGAAAAGCAGCAGGUUAAUACCACGCUGUUCUGACGGUACCCAAAGAAUAAGCACCGGCUAACUUCGUG